UACGUAGGGCGCAAGCGUUAUCCGGAAUUAUUGGGCGUAAAGCGCGUGUAGGCGGCUUGGCAAGUCAGUUGUGAAAGCCCGGGGCCCAACCCCGGAAUUGCAUCUGAAACUGCCUGGCUAGAGUCCCGGAGAGGAAGGCAGAAUUCCCGGUGUAGGGGUGAAAUCCGUAGAUAUCGGGAGGAAUACCAGCGGCGAAGGCGGGUCUCUGGGCAACAACUGACGCUGAGGAGCGAAAGCGUGGGGAGCGAACAGG
rnacentral:rRNA from 1 species